UGACGAAUUAAAUAGUCCUUUAAUAAAUUUAAUCACGUCUGCUAUAUAUACAUACAAAUUAAAAACAAAACUAUACGAUAUUUGAAACAACUAUAAUAUAGCUAAAUAAUAUUUUCUGAAACUAACAUAAUGUCAAUCGUAUGCGUUUUUAUACAGUUCUGUCCCCAAUUCUAUAUAUAAGGUAUAGUAUUUCAAGACUGUAUAUUAUUUACGAAUAUUUCCAACGAAUAUUUCCAACAAAAUAUACACUAGAAUACCGGUUAAAAACCCGCAUAUAGGAAAUCACUGUUCAAGUGCCAUUUAUGUGGAUGAUUAAAAGAGCUGAUUUUUCUAAUGUAAAUAAAAUGUGAAAACCAACGAAACAGCUGGCGAUAGCCUUUAAUUAAGGUUCAUUCCGUCAACCUUCUAGGUGUAUCACAAAUUUGUCGUAUUAGAAAUAUAAGGCCCCAGUUACACGAUAUCGGAGCGACAUCAAAUUUUACAGUUUCAAGGGGAGUUUAGCACUCAAAAUUAUGAUAAUAUAACACAAUUAGUCAAAAAAUUCAAAUAUAUGAAAAGUUGUAACAGGCCGAAAAGCGUCUUAGAUGUCACUGGACUCGCUCCGAUGCGAACCAGUUUCGUGUAAUUGGGGGUCAAAGAAGAUAUGUUAAUCACAUGAAAACCUAAUAUGAAACCCGCGUGCACUGUUUCUGUCUAUGUGCUUUUUCAUCACUUUUCAGGAUUAGUUCGAGCGUCUUGCUAUCAUGUGAAGGACCCAGGAUUUUGUUUUGAGCUCAUUUGCAUUUAAUGCGUUUGGCACAUGAAAAAGUCCCACGUCUUAUCUUGGCCUCGCGUCAGAAAAUUGAAUUUUUAUUAUUAAUUGGAUUUGUGGGAACAAGUUCCGAAUAUCUCAUCACCAAAACGUUUGUGCUUAAAUUCAUAAUCUGCGGGUUUAAAUCUUACCAGCUUUCAAACCAAGGGUCAAACAGGUGAACUCACUGAACUGAGCGAUUUUUUGCAUUUGGCUGAAUCCACAAACACAGACAUUUCGAGUGCGCUGUAAGAUAAGACGUCUGAAAAACUGAAGCAUUCAAUAAAUUGUCUUCUUUUUCAGGUAGUUGAAAAAUCCAUAGAUCCUUGCCUUGUCAAUAUAUUUUGCUGGCAGGCAAAUUCCAAUUAUAUAUAAAGACUAUAUUCUCAAUUUGUGAUUCAACAAGCAUGUCCGACGCAACUACGAAGCUCUCGUGACUAAAAGAUUUUAAAAUAUUUUCCUGAAA
rnacentral:lncRNA from 1 species